rnacentral:rRNA from 1 species
CGGAGGGUGCAAGCGUUAUCCGGAUUUACUGGGUUUAAAGGGUGCGUAGGUGGGUAGGUAAGUCAGUGGUGAAAUCUUCGAGCUUAACUCGGAAACUGCCAUUGAUACUAUUUAUCUUGAAUACUCUGGAGGUAAGCGGAAUAUGUCAUGUAGCGGUGAAAUGCUUAGAUAUGACAUAGAACACCAAUUGCGAAGGCAGCUUACUACAUAGUUAUUGACACUGAGGCACGAAAGCGUGGGGAUCAAACAGGAUUAGAUACCCUGGUAGUCCACGCCCUAAACGAUGGAUACUCGACAUCAGCGAUACACUGUUGGUGUCUGAGCGAAAGCAUUAAGUAUCCCACCUGGGAAGUACGAUCGCAAGAUUG